CGGGCUGUAGCGCAGUUUGGUAGCGCGCUGCUUUGGGAGCAGAAUGUCGCAGGUUCAAAUCCUGUCAGCCCGACCG
rnacentral:tRNA from 1 species